GACGAACGCUGGCGGCGCGCUUAACACAUGCAAGUCGAACGGAAAGGCCUGCUUUCCCUUGUGGAUUGCGGGUACUCGAGUGGCGAACGGGUGAGUAACACGUGAGUGAUCUGCCCCCAACUUGGGUAUAAGCCUGGGAAACUGGGUCUAAUUCCCGAUAGGACUGCAGGGUGGUGCCUGUGGUGGAAAACGAUUUUCUAGUGGUUGGGGAUGAGCUCGCGGCCUAUCAGCUUGUUGGUGGGGUAAUGGCCUACCAAGGCGGCGACGGGUAGCCGGCCUGAGAGGGUGGACGGCCACAUUGGGACUGAGAUACGGCCCAGACUCCUACGGAGGCAGCAGUGGGGAAUAUUGCACAAUGGGCGGAAGCCUGAUGCAGCGACGCCGCGUGGGGGAUGACGGCCUUCGGGUUGUAAACUCCUUUCGACCGCGAGGAAGCCACCUGGUUGGAAGGGUGGUGACGGUAGUGGUAGAAGAAGCACCGGCUAACUACGUG
rnacentral:rRNA from 1 species